AGUAUAUAUAAUUUUACAUAUUUUCAUAAUACUUUGUAUUAUAAUCAAACUGAAAACUAUAUUACAGAUGAUUAUAAAUAAAGGUGGUGUCAUAAAUAAAGUAAUUUUUACUAAAUCGCCUCCUCACAAAAGUGUGCCGAAAAAAAACACCAAUAAAAGAUGUUACAGUUGCCAUUCUUUUGGCCAUUUAUCGAUAAAUUGUUACAAAAAAAAAGCACUAAAUAAAAAAAAAAACACCGAAAAAGUUAAAACACAGGAAAAAAAAAAACCAUAUAAGAAAAAAAAUAAUUCUACCAAAUGGUGCAAUUAUUGCCAAAAAAUGUCAAAACACACACCAGAAAAAUGUUGGUAUAAAAAUAAAAAAAAAUACCAAGGCAAAAAAUAAAAA